rnacentral:rRNA from 1 species
CGGGAGCGACUUAGCGGCGGACGGGUGAGUAACGCGUGGGUAACCUGCCCCAUACCGGGGGAUAACGGUUAGAAAUGACCGCUAAUACCGCUUAAGCGCACGAGGCCGCAUGGCCGCGCGCGAAAAACUCCGGUGGUAUGGGAUGGGCCCGCGUCUGAUUAGCUAGUUGGCGGGGUAAAGGCCCACCAAGGCGACGAUCAGUAGCCGACCUGAGAGGGUGGCCGGCCACAUUGGGACUGAGACACGGCCCAAACUCCUACGGGAGGCAGCAG